CCUACGGGAGGCAGCAGUGAGGAAUAUUGGUCAAUGGGCGAGAGCCUGAACCAGCCAAGUCGCGUGAGGGAGUACUGCCCUAUGGGUUGUAAACCUCUUUUGUCGGGGAGCAAAAGCCGGACGUGUCCGGCUGUGAGAUUACCCGAAGAAAAAGCAUCGGCUAACUCCGUGCCAGCAGCCGCGGUAAUACGGAGGAUGCGAGCGUUAUCCGGAUUUAUUGGGGUUAAAGGGUGCGCAGGCGGAUUUUUAAGUCAGCGGUCAAAUCGUGGGGCUCAACCCCAUCCAGCCGUUGAAACUGGGGAUCUAGAGUGUGCGAGAGGUAUGCGGAAUGCGUGGUGUAGCGGUGAAAUGCAUAGAUAUCACGCAGAACCCCGAUUGCGAAGGCAGCAUACCGGUGCACAACUGACGCUCAGGCACGAAAGCGUGGGUAUCGAACAGGAUUAGAUACCCCUGUAGUC
rnacentral:rRNA from 1 species